rnacentral:lncRNA from 1 species
AAAAGUUCGAGUGUUGAAAAAAAGUGUUACAAAUAUAUCUUUCUAUACCUUUUUACUUGUGAAAAGAAAAACUGAUCUCUCAUCUCGUUCGGUUUAAUAUAGUACCACUUCAUUUCAAAUGGUAUCAAAUCAAUAACAUCGUUGGUAUCAAAUCAAGAACGUUGUUGGUAUCAAAUCAAGAACGUUGUUGGUAUCAAAUCAAGAACGUUGUUGGUAUCAAAUCAAGAACGUUGUUGGUAUCAAAUCAAGAACGUUGUUGGUAUCAAAUCAAGAACAUUGUUGGUAUCAAAUCAAAAAUGUUGUUGGUAUCAAAUCAAGAACGUUGUCCUGAAUUUAAUUUUUUUAAAGGUGUUCAACGUGACAAAUUACUUCACGAAAUUCAUCGUUAUUUUACACAAGACACAAAAAAGUCGGCUUUAGUACUAUAUGGAAUGUCAGGUGUUGGAAAGACAAAAAUUGCUAAAAAAUAUUGUGAAAUAUAUUCUAACUUCUAUAAAAACAUUGUCUGGAUAGACGCAGCAUUUGGAAAAUUACAAACUUCAAUAAGAAAUCGUUGUCAAAUAUUAGGAUUGGCUAUUCAUGAUUCAAAAAAUGAUUUUAAUAUAGAAGUAAUUGUUGAAAA